GAAACCGUUCAGGGGUAAACCUGAGAAACCCAAAAGAUCGAACGGGGAGAUUCAUCGGCAACGAGGCUGGCUCCCGUAGGUGCGCGAUACCUGGAAUGGGCCUACGCGGUUCAAUGCAAGGGUACACCACCUUCGGCGACUGUUCCGGCAAUGUAGUCGUGCACUUCUCCCUUAGUAGAACGUCGCGACCCGUUGCGUGUCGGUCUACGGCUCGAGUUGUUGUCUGGCGCGUCGUUUCGUACGCACGCGUCAAACGCUCGGUCGCCCGGCCGGCUGCGCGACGGUACUCUGACGGUAUCGGGCCGCAACCAAUCCAUUUUCGAAUGUAUGUGCGUCAGGCCCGCCGCAAGCUCGGUCAGUUUACUCGGAGGUACGGACCUGGUGCCGCCUCCGUGCCUGGCCAGCUGUUUGCAGGCGGUGUCCUUGGACUUGGCCAAGCCUUGUAUUACCGGUCGGCGACGCUACUGCUUUGGGUACUCUCAGGACCCGUCUUGAAACACGGACCAAGGAGUCUAACAUGUGCGCGAGUCAUUGGGACAUAUAAACCUAAAGGCGCAAUGAAAGUGAAAGUCGUCCUCUGUGUCGACCGAGGGAGGAUGGGCCGCGUUACAAUGCGGCCUCGCACUCCCGGGGCGUCUUGUUCUCAUUGCGAGAAGAGGCGCACCCAGAGCGUACACGUUGGGACCCGAAAGAUGGUGAACUAUGCCUGGUCAGGACGAAGUCAGGGGAAACCCUGAUGGAGGUCCGUAGCGAUUCUGACGUGCAAAUCGAUCGUCGGAACUGGGUAUAGGGGCGAAAGACUAAUCGAACCAUCUAGUAGCUGGUUCCCUCCGAAGUUUCCCUCAGGAUAGCUGGCACUCGCUCGUUCCUCCGUGAACGUGUGCGAGUCUCAUCUGGUAAAGCGAAUGAUUAGAGGCCUUGGGGCCGAAACGACCUCAACCUAUUCUCAAACUUUAAAUGGGUGAGAUCUCUGGCUUGCUUGCAUUAUUUGAAGCCACGAGAUUUUUGGAUUAGAGUGCCAAGUGGGCCAAUUUUGGUAAGCAGAACUGGCGCUGUGGGAUGAACCAAACGCAGAGUUAAGGCGCCUAAGUCGACGCUUAUGGGAUACCAUGAAAGGCGUUGGUUGCUUAAGACAGCAGGACGGUGGCCAUGGAAGUCGGAA
rnacentral:rRNA from 1 species